rnacentral:rRNA from 1 species
UACGUAGGCAGCGAGCGUUGUUCGGAAUUACUGGGCGUAAAGAGUGUGUAGGCGGUGCUCUAAGUUCGGUGUGAAAUCUCCUGCUUAACUGGGAGGGUGCGCCGGAAACUGGAGUGCUCGAACGUGGGAGAGGAAGGCGGAAUUCCUGGUGUAGCGGUGAAAUGCGUAGAUAUCAGGAGGAACACCUGCGGUGUAGACGGCUUUCUGGACCAUUGUUGACGCUGAGACACGAAAGCGUGGGUAGCAAACAGG